GUGCUCGCUUGGGCAGCGCAUAUACUAAAACUGGAACGAUACAGAGAAGAUGAGCAUGGCCCUCGCUCAAGGAUAGCACGCAAGUUUGUGAAGCAUUCCAUAUUUUA
ensembl:snRNA U6 U6 spliceosomal RNA